rnacentral:rRNA from 1 species
GCCUACGGGAGGCAGCAGUGAGGAAUAUUGGUCAAUGGGCGGGAGCCUGAACCAGCCAAGUCGCGUGAGGGAAGACGGUCCUAUGGAUUGUAAACCUCUUUUGUCGGGGAGCAAAGAGAUCACGUGUGGUCAAAAGCGAGAGUACCCGAAGAAAAAGCAUCGGCUAACUCCGUGCCAGCAGCCGCGGUAAUACGGAGGAUGCGAGCGUUAUCCGGAUUUAUUGGGUUUAAAGGGUGCGUAGGCGGGACGGUAAGUCAGCGGUAAAAUCGCGGGGCUCAACCUCGCUCCGCCGUUGAAGCUGGCGU